rnacentral:rRNA from 1 species
GCAGCCUGAUCCAGCCUGCCGCGUGUGUGAAGAAGGCCUUAUGGUUGUAAAGCACUUUAAGCGAGGAGGAGGCUACUUUAGWUAAUACCUAGAGAUAGUGGACGUUACUCGCAGAAUAAGCACCGGCUAACUCUGUGCCAGCAGCCGCGGUAAUACAGAGGGUGCAAGCGUUAAUCGGAUUUACUGGGCGUAAAGCGCGCGUAGGCCGGCUAAUUAAGUCAAAUGUGAAAUCCCCGAGCUUAACUUGGGAAUUGCAUUCGAUACUGGUUAGCUAGAGUGUGGGAGAGGAUGGUAGAAUUCCAGGUGUAGCCGGUGAAAUGCCGUAGAGAUCUGGAGGAAUACCGAUGGCGAAGGCAGCCAUCUGGCCUAACACUGACGCUGAGGUGCGAAAGCAUGGGGAGCAAACAGGAUUAGAUACCCUGGUAGUCCAUGCCGUAAACGAUGUCUACUAGCCGUUGGGGCCUUUGAGGCUUUAGUGGCGCAGCUAACGCGAUAAGUAGACCGCCUGGGGAGUACGGUCGCAAGACUAAAACUCAAAUGAAUUGACGGGGGCCCGCACAAGCGGUGGAGCAUGUGGUUUAAUUCGAUGCAACGCGAAGAACCUUACCUGGCCUUGACAUAGUAAGAACUUUCCAGAGAUGGAUUUGGUGCCUUCGGGAACUUUACAUACAGGUGCUGCAUGGCUGUCGU